UAUAGCAAACAAUUAUGAAGUAGGUCAAAAAUUAAUUCGUGAUAAAGAUUUUUUAAAAAAUAGUGGAUUUUUUAGUUUUGUUUUUGAAAUAGGAAGAAGGUAUAAAAUAUUAAAUCCAGAUCGCAUGCGAAGUAGUUAUGGUAAAUUAAUGUAUUUUUUAAUGGAUACAAGAAGAGAAGAUAUAUAUAAUUUAUUAUCAUUCAAUUGUGUAACUCCUAUAAAAACAGUUUAUGAUUUAUUAAAAAAUAAAAAAAAUGGAUUAGAGUUAUUGAAUGAUAAUUUAAUUAAAAUAGCUACUAUGGAAAUUAAUACUAAUCAAAGUAGAAAUGAAAUACAAAGACAAAUAAAACAAAAAGAAGAAGCUAUUAAAUAUUUAGUACGAAAAUAUUCAUGUAAUACUCAUAAUAAAAAAAAUAUAUUCAGAUUAAAUAUACCUAUAUUUAAUAAUCAGAAUAUAGAAGAAGAUAUGAAUAAAAAUGAAGAAUUAGAAUAUUUAGCUCCUGAAGAAAUAGAAAGAUGUUUAUACAGUUUAUGUGAUUAUAAUACACAUGUUAAAAUGUUUUGUGAACCUUGUGAAAUUAUGAUUAAUUUUUUAAAAACUUAUUAUGAUCCUUAUGAAAAGAAUUCAUCCUACUCUUUAUCUAUAGAAUCAGGAAAACAAGGAAGUAGAUUAACUCAUUCACAUAAUAGGCAAUAUAUGUAUGUGUUACAAACUUUAUACUUAUGGAAAGAAAUUGGAGAACAUAUGUUUUUUCUUUGGUCAUGUGCUGAAAAUGAUAUGUUAGACUUUAAAAAUCCAUACAGGUUAAUGGAUACUGGGCAAGGUCUUAAUAGAAUACAAAAUGGUUAUAAAGUUUUAAGUGUAAUGCGAAAAAUUUUACAUACUGUUCAAAAAAAAUUAGGUGGUUGGGUUGGUUCUAGUAUGAUUCACAUGGGGGACACAAACAUUCCGAACACAUUCAUGUUUAUCGACAAAUACACACAGGUUCCUCGAAUACUGGGACCCAUAGUUACGUGUUUACAAAAAAUAGAUGAGUUAUAUAAUUCUACACUUUCGAUGAAAAAUUAUAUAAAUAGUGAAUUUAAUAGCGCAAAUAACUUGAAAAUGAUUAUUACUUGUGACUUUUUUCGUCAUGGCUUUGAUGGUAGUGGUAGUGAUAAUUUCAAUGAAGCAGGAAGUUGUAUAGAUGGUAGAUUAACAUCUGCAUGGAAUUGGUGUUCUAAAAUUGAAAAGAAAAAAUACUUUCCUAUAUUUCUAUUAACAGGAUUUGUAGGUUUUGAUGGAACCUUUUAAGAAAAACUAAAGAA
ensembl:lncRNA